rnacentral:rRNA from 1 species
UACGGAGGGGGUUAGCGUUGUUCGGAAUUACUGGGCGUAAAGCGCGCGUAGGCGGACCAGAAAGUUGGGGGUGAAAUCCCGGGGCUCAACCCCGGAACGGCCUCCAAAACUCCUGGUCUUGAGUUCGAGAGAGGUGAGUGGAAUUCCGAGUGUAGAGGUGAAAUUCGUAGAUAUUCGGAGGAGCACCAGUGGCGAAGGCGGCUCACUGGCUCGAUACUGACGCUGAGGUGCGAAAGUGUGGGGAGCAAACAGG